CGCCCGCCGCGCGCGGCGGGCGGGGCGGGGGCACGGGGGGCCUACGGGAGGCAGCAGUGGGGAAGAAUAGGGACUUGGGGCGAGCCUGAUCAGCAUGCCGCGUGAGUGAUGAAGGCCUUAGGGUUGUAAAGCUCUUUUACCCGAGAUGAUAAUGACAGUAUCGGGAGAAUAAGCUCCGGCUAACUCCGUGCCAGCAGCCGCGGUAAU
rnacentral:rRNA from 1 species